rnacentral:rRNA from 1 species
UGGGGAAUAUUGCACAAUGGGCGAAAGCCUGAUGCAGCGACGCCGCGUGAGGGAUGACGGCCUUCGGGUUGUAAACCUCUUUCAGCAGGGACGAUUGUGACGGUACCUGCAGAAGAAGCCCCGGCCAACUACGUGCCAGCAGCCGCGGUAAUACGUAGGGGGCAAGCGUUGUCCGGGAUUUAUUGGGCGUAAAUGAGCUCGUAAGGCGGCUUGGCAAGUCGGGUGUGAAACCUCCAGGCUCAACCUGGAGUCGCCAUUCGAUACUGCUAUGGCUUGAGUUUUGGUAGGGGGACCACGGAAUUCCUGGUGUAGCGGUGAAAUGCGCAGAUAUCAGGAGGAACACCAGCGGCGAAGGCGGUGGUCUGGGCCAAUACUGACGCUGAGGAGCGAAAGCGUGGGGAGCGAACAGGAUUAGAUACCCCCAGU